GACGAACGCUGGCGGCGUGCUUAACACAUGCCAGUCGAACGGAAAGGCCUGCUUUCCCUUGUGGAUUGCGGGUACUCGAGUGGCGAACGGGUGAGUAACACGUGAGUGAUCUGCCCCCAACUUGGGUAUAAGCCUGGGAAACUGGGUCUAAUUCCCGAUAGGACUGCAGGGUGGUGCCUGUGGUGGAAAACGAUUUUCUAGUGGUUGGGGAUGAGCUCGCGGCCUAUCAGCUUGUUGGUGGGGUAAUGGCCUACCAAGGCGGCGACGGGUAGCCGGCCUGGGAGGGUGGACGGCCACAUUGGGACUGAGAUACGGCCCAGACUCCUACGGGAGGCAGCAGUGGGGAAUAUUGCACAAUGGGCGGAAGCCUGAUGCAGCGACGCCGCGUGGGGGGUGACGGCCUUCGGGUUGUAAACUCCUUUCGACCGCGAGGAAGCCACCUGGUUGGAAGGGUGGUGACGGUAGUGGUAGAAGAAGCACCGGCUAACUACGUG
rnacentral:rRNA from 1 species